ensembl:lncRNA
UGCAUUAAGGGUGCUAGCGCAACACGGACCAAAAAUGGAGUCAUAUCUCGCUCGCCUGUGCUCUAUGCUGCUCGAGCCUGUCCUCCUGUCUCGGGAUGACUCACAUGCUGUUUGGCAUAAUGUUCACCAGUGAGAGUGUCAGCUGUUGAGUUGUCUCCAUGCAAACUGCAAACGACCACGGCGUUCCCACAGUGCGAACUUGCCAUCCUCAGAGCGCAAUUUAUGGAGUUCAAAGCCUCCCAGUUUCAGAAUAAAACAUUCGCACAGGUUUUUAGAAAAUAACUUAAAGACAGCCUCUAAUACGAAACCUAUAUAUAUAUAUUUCCAAGGAAAGGAAUAUUUCAGCCCCGCUUGGAACUUUUAUCAAAAGCAGCUUACAGUACAGUACAGACAUUUUCAUCAGUAUGGGCAUCGAACGCAUGAUCUUGGUGUCGUUAGCACCUUGGUCUAGUAGUCGAGCCACAGGAACAGUUGAACAGUUGAACAGUACACGAUAUCAUAGUUUAGGUAUUUAACAGACACCGUCUAAAGCAGACUCAUAAAACAUUUGAUGAACUAAUAGUGUAAUAACAAUAAUGAGAAAAAGUUACGUUGCUGUAUCAGCAAAAUGGUAUAGCGAUGUAAUAAGGCUUACUACAUAUAAACCAGUAAGGAGUCAUGUCACCCGAUGAUGUGUGAGAUGAACCUCAGCCCCACCUUUUCCCUCCUAUCGCCACACUCCAUGACUGUGUCCUUAGCCCACAGGGCUAUCUUUCCUUGUGAACGUUCUCUCCUAAACACACCAAACACCACACAAGGCCGCCACGUGCAGCACACGAUUCCCAUGCAACUUGCCUCUCAUACACAGUAGCACAAAUCUUGCUUGUGCGUAAGACAUAUUGCUUCCACUUCUUGCCGUGCCCUAGCUGAAUUCACGGAUCCUUGCAGGUCAUCUACUGCCCGUUUGAAAUAUAUCUGUGGAAGCUGAUUGUAAAACAUUAUAGGCUUUGUAAGGACCAGUCAUGAAGAAAUAUUGCAUAUAAUAAUAUUGCUUUGUUCUCCAGAAUAUAUAUUCAUAUUUGUUAUGUGCUGCUCGGUGAAGGUAGGUUAUACGACAAAACAAAACAAGUUGUUAAAACAGCGCCAGCAUUUGUGCAUAUUCAAACGAAAGCUGUCACCUCGGAAGCAGGAAGCUGGUACAGCUGUUAGGCCUUUUCACGUCAAAAACACAAGAAGUAAGAAAUCAAUUAUGGCUGAUGCCCCCGAGCUGGGAGAGGAUUGAUCCAUGCGGACAUCCUCCCCGGGGGCCUUCGGGCUUGGCCAUAUGCUGACUGCAGCACUCAGGGCUCAGUUUUGGCGUUUUCCAGAGCGCGCUCACCUCUACACCUGCUGCAGUGUCCCGGCUCACCUCUCCAUGGCCUCUCCACGCAGAUGGUGACCGGAGCGCUUUUGUUUUAAUCACUUCAUUAAUUAUUUGACUUAUUUACAUUUUCCCCACAAACAUUGAAUUCAUUUAGCAGACACUUUUAUCCAAAGCAACUUACAGGACAGAUUCACAUUUUAAUCAGUAUGUUUGUGCUCUCUAUGUAUCAAGCACACGAUACUGGUGCUGUUGUCACCUUGCUAUACCAGUUGCUCCAACAAUUUAGCCACAGGAACACAAACUAGCUUGUUUCAGCCUUUUUUGUGGGGGUAUUUAUUCAAAUCGCUACUCACUGGGUUGGAUAUUUGUUUGCGAUCUGUUGUUGUUUCUUUUGAGAUAUUCACACGUGACAGGCUUGUUGGUCUUUAUCCGUGCUGGUGAUUAGUCACCAGACUGAGCCCCCAAGGACUUCCACCAACUCGCUCAACUCGCUCACGCACCCUGGAAGCAUUAAGGAUCCAACAAGAGGCUCAUCUGAUAAUCAAUGCAGCUCAAACUCUCCUCCUUGAUAAAGACAUUCGUCAUGCUUGUUAUAACUGUGAAGCACUUAGUCACGCAAGCACAUAAGCAUGGGCACUAGCGCGCGCACACAUUCACACGCCACACACACUCUGACUCACACACACACACACACACAUACAAACAGACACAUAAAUAUUACAUUACUCAUAUUUAUACACCCCCUCACUGGUGGCUCUUAAAACCCUUCCCUGCACUCUUGUGUUCCAUAUGUGCUGUGUUCUAACAACUAACGCUCGUUGACCUUUGACCCUUCUCUCUUGUCUAUCCCUGCUAACACCAAACAGUGGACAGAGGAGUUUGAUUGUUGUUUUGCAGUGCCAGUGGUAACGGAGUGAGAUUAAACAUACUGUAAUGGACCUAGUGAGAGCAGCCACAUGAUUGUUAUUAAGGUAUAUAGGUCUAAUAGGAGCACACAUAUCUUCAGUGGUGUGCGCUGGCCUGUGUAUUACUGAGCUCUGUCUCGUCUCUUCUCGUGUUCACAGCUGCUACGCCAUGGAAAAAAAAAUCAGGUACAGUGACCAACAUCAUCUUCAGCUCUGGGCAGUCUAUGCAUUAACCCACCACACCCACACCUACACACAAACACAAACACAGCUGCUGAAAACACAAGAUGUGAUGAAUGUGGUCAUCCACAUAACUGUAAGCAACAUGGCGCUGUUUUAAUAAUGUGCUAGCCUAACACAUUCCUUUAACAAGAGGCAUGUGAGAGGUAUACAGAUGACUGUACUGUAAAAAACAUUCAUUCAACAAAGAAGAGUAAUCGGAUAUCAAAGUGACAAAUACAGAUGCUGAAGUGACCAUGUUUUUAAUAACCAGUGUUUAAAGAAUGCUUUUUUGUAGAUAGAUAGUUUUUGUCCUGAAUUCCUGAAUUUAAUUGAGAUGUUUCAUUGUCAAAGGAUGAACACACCUGUUGUUCUCACUAGCAACCCAGGCCACAGGAGAACAUCUCCAGAUAUAUUGCUGAAAUAAAUCAGUUACCAAGUUAGCCAGCUGUUAUUAGUGCCAGCUGUGCUUUUGAUAAGAUAAGAUAAGAUAAGAUAAACUUGUAUUAAUCCCGUGAGGGAAAUUCAGGUGUUAUAGCAGCAAGGUAGUAGGAAUCAAAUAUAUACAUAAACAUCAAAAUAAAUGAUGUGAUGUGUCCAAAGCAAGUCUGUCAGCUAAUCAGCUCACCAGUUUUAGUCAGAAACUCCACAGUCCUCGUUAACAGACUAACAAUGCUUGCCAUGUUGACACACAGGACACUGGAUGAUAGUAUGACUACAUAUUUUCUGCAGACAACCUGUUAACUUGUUGCACCCUUGCUUUUUUUUUUUUUUGUAGAGUUCGAAUCCUCUCAAGUCACCGAGAAGAAGAGGACAGUCUAUCAGAUGGCUUUGAGUAAGAGUCUGUCUGCCUGCCUGUGUUCCUGCAGCUGUGUGGUGUUGGACUAGUUUCCCAAACAGCCCCAGUCCCUGAACUAGAUUGCAUUCUCAAAAAAAGAAGCUCCUGCAUUUAGCAAAACAGUUCUUUGUAGGCAUCCUUUUGUGUUUGUGUGAAAUCUAGAGAGUCACUUUCUCUCAAUGUCUCUUGCUCAGAUAAACUGGAUGAAAUCUAGAGAGUCACUUUCUCUCAAUGUCUCUUGCUCAGAUAAACUGGAUGAAAUCUAGAGAGUCACUUUCUCUCAAUGUCUCUUCCUCAGAUAAACUGGAUGAAAUCUAGAGAGUCACUUUCUCUCAAUGUCUCUUGCUCAGAUAAACU